rnacentral:rRNA from 1 species
CCUGACUGCUAUCGGAUUGAUACUAAGCCAUGCGAGUCUUUGUAGUAAUACAAGGCAGACGGCUCAGUAACACGUAGUCAACCUACCCUAUGGACGGGAAUAAUCUCGGGAAACUGAGCAUAAUUCUCGAUAGAUCAUAAUGCCUGGAAUGGUUUAUGGUUAAAAUGAUUCGUCGCCAUAGGAUGGGACUGCGGCCUAUCAGCUUGUUGGUGAGGUAAUGGCCCACCAAGGCGAUUACAGGUACGGGCUCUGAGAGGAGAAGCCCGGAGAUGGGUACUGAGACACGGACCCAGGCCCUAUGGGGCGCAGCAGGCGAGAAAACUUUGCAAUGUGCGAAAGCACGACAAGGUUAAUCCGAGUGAUUUCUGCUAAAGAAAUCUUUUACCAGUCAUAAAACCACUGGUGAAUAAGGGGUGGGCAAGUUCUGGUGUCAGCCGCCGCGGUAAAACCAGCACCUCAAGUGGUCAGGAUGAUUAUUGGGCCUAAAGCAUCCGUAGCCGGCUUUGUUAGUUUUCGGUUAAAUCCAUGUGCUCAACGCAUGGGCUGCCGAAAAUACUGCAUAGCUAGGGAGUGGGAGAGGUAGACGGCACUCAAUAGGAAGGGGUAAAAUCCUUUGAUCUAUUGAUGACCACCUGUGGCGAAGGCGGUCUACCAGAACACGUUCGACGGUGAGGGAUGAAAGCUGGGGGAGCAAACCGGAUUAGAUACCCGGGUAGUCCCAGCUGUAAACGAUGCAGACUCGAUGAUGCAUUGGCAUAAUAGCCAUUGCAGUGUCGCAGGGAAGCCGUUAAGUCUGCCGCCUGGGAAGUACGUACGCAAGUAUGAAACUUAAAGGAAUUGGCGGGGGAGCACCACAAGGGGUGAAGCCUGCGGUUC